rnacentral:rRNA from 1 species
UACGAAGGGGGCUAGCGUUGCUCGGAAUCACUGGGCGUAAAGCGCACGCAGGCGGACUCUUAAGUCGGGGGUGAAAUCCUGGAGCUCAACUCCAGAACUGCCUUCGAUACUGAGAGUCUUGAGUACGGGAGAGGUGAGUGGAACUGCGAGUGUAGAGGUGAAAUUCGUAGAUAUUCGCAAGAACACCAGUGGCGAAGGCGGCUCACUGGCCCGGUACUGACGCUGAGGUGCGAAAGCGUGGGGAGCAAACAGG